AUGAUACGCGAGGACCCUUACCUAGGCUCUAAUUAUAGUGACUUUUCCUGAAAGGAGAAAUUCCUUCGGGAUGUAGAACAAGGUGCUGCAUGGUUGUCGUCAGCUCGUGCCGUGAGGUGUUGGGUUAAGUCCCGCAACGAGCGCAACCCUUAUUUUUAGUUGCUAAUUUAUUUUAGGUUUUCUAGAAAGACUGCCGGUGACAAACCGGAGGAAGGUGAGGAUGACGUCAAGUCAGCAUGCCCCUUAUGCCUUGGGCUACACACGUGCUACAAUGGUUAAGACAAAGAGUUGCGAGCUCGCGAGAGUCAGCUAAUCUCAUAAACUUAGCCUAAGUUCGGAUUGUAGGCUGCAACUCGCCUGCAUGAAGUCGGAAUCGCUAGUAAUCGCGUAACAGCAUGACGCGGUGAAUACGUUCCCGGGCCUUGUACACACCGCCCGUCACA
rnacentral:rRNA from 1 species